AGAGCAUCCUACGGGAGGCAGCAGUGGGGAAUAUUGCACAAUGGGCGCAAGCCUGAUGCAGCCAUGCGCGUGUAUGAAGAAGGCCUUCGGGUUGUAAAGUACUUUCAGCAGUGAGGAAGGUGGGUAUGUUAAUAGCAUAUUCAUUUGACGUUAGCUGCAGAAGAAGCACCGGCUAACUCCGUGCCAGCAGCCGCGGUAAUACGGAGGGUGCGAGCGUUAAUCGGAAUUACUGGGCGUAAAGCGCAUGCAGGUGGUUUGUUAAGUCAGAUGUGAAAGCCCGGGGCUCAACCUCGGAAUUGCAUUUGAAACUGGCAAACUAGAGUACUGUAGAGGGGGUAGAAUUUCAGGUGUAGCGGUGAAAUGCGUAGAGAUCUGAAGGAAUACCGGUGGCGAAGGCGGCCCCCUGGACAGAUACUGACACUCAGAUGCGAAAGCGUGGGGAGCAAACAGGAUUAGAAACCCUGGUAG
rnacentral:rRNA from 1 species